rnacentral:lncRNA from 1 species
UAAAAUAGGAAUAAUUUUCUAUUUAAAUUUCUAAUAUAAUAAAGUAUAGUUUUUUUCCGCGUUAUUAAAUCAUGUUACCACAAUCGAGAAAAUCUUGAUUUCACUAUAAGAGAUAUAUACAUCGAUACGAAAGAAACUAAGAAGAUAAGUGGGUGAUAUACCUUGGAAGGAGAGAAGCCGAUUCCAAAACGGAAAGAACAACUAUUAGAUGCACGAUAUACGGUAGAGAGGCUGUAUAAUUGUAGGAGAAGUGAAAGAAGAAACGAGAAACGUGGUCUCAGCGGUAAGAGUGUAUACCUCAAGGGGGAAAUCGAGAUCGCACAUGACUAACGAGUACUCAUCUCGGUUUCUUCAUGUAGGUCGUUACAACUUCAUUCAUUAACUCCUUGAUCCCACUCGAUAGAGAAAUAAAAAGAAAGAUAUAAUAAAAAAUGAAAGAGAAGAGAAAGAAUGAAGGAAAGAAAGAAAGAGAUACUAGAAAACUCUAGGAUUUAAUCACGAACUAAUUACCCUUAAGGAUAAUGAUUUUUCCUAGGAAGAAGAAAAUUAUCAAAAGAAAUGAAAUGAAAUGAAAUAAAGAGAAACAUCUUGGAGAAACAUCUUCGAGAUAUAUCGACUUUUACGUUGUAACAUCUAAAAGUGGAGAAUUAACUUCUUCCUACUAUGGUGGAAGAAUCCGAUGGUACGAGUCUAACGGGACGACGACGAGGAUGAGGACGACAAGAAGAUUAAAACAUGCUGAUUUCACCUACGUGAAAAUUCAUCUCUCCGAUUGAAUAUUUUGCCGAAGGGAUGAAUAAAUUAUCGCCGAGGUGAGAACAAAAAUGUGUAUUUUAAUAAAUAAAAAAGAAAUUAAACGCA